rnacentral:rRNA from 1 species
AGAGUUGAUCUGGCUCAGGAUGAACGCUAGCGACAGGCUAACACAUGCAAGUCGAGGGCAGCAUAAAAGUAGCAAUACGUUGGUGGCGACCGGCGCACGGGUGAGUAACGCGUAUGCAACCUACCUAUCAGAGGGGAAUAACCCGGCGAAAGUCGGACUAAUACCGCAUAAAACAGGGGCACCGCAUGGUGAUAUUUGUUAAAGAAAUUCGCUGAUAGAUGGGCAUGCGUUCCAUUAGGUAGUUGGUGAGGUAACGGCUCACCAAGCCGACGAUGGAUAGGGGAACUGAGAGGUUGGUCCCCCACACUGGUACUGAGACACGGACCAGACUCCUACGGGAGGCAGCAGUGAGGAAUAUUGGUCAAUGGGCGGGAGCCUGAACCAGCCAAGUCGCGUGAAGGAAGAAGGAUCUAUGGUUCGUAAACUUCUUUUGCAGGGGAAUAAAGUGCAGGACGUGUCCUGUUUUGUAUGUACCCUGAGAAUAAGGAUCGGCUAACUCCGUGCCAGCAGCCGC